CUUCACCCCCCUGGUUUUUGCAAAAAUUUUGAUCAUAAUUUUCGAGUUUCGACUGAACAUUUUGAUAUUUUUGCAGUCGAGAAAAAAGUGUGUUAGUUUUAAGUUUUUAGUCUGCUUGUAGAUGAAACAAUUCACUCGAAAGGAUUAUUAUAUUUCUUGUUUUCAGGUAAGAUUCACAAAAGUUUUAUUUCUUUUACUUUUUUUAAGUUCUAGCUUGCCAAAGCUUGGGUUGCUUCGGGCAAAUUUUAUAACUUGCCAUUUCGAUGGAAAAGCAUAAAUAAUU